UACGUAGGGUGCGAGCGUUAAUCGGAAUUACUGGGCGUAAAGCGCGUGUAGGCUGCUUCGAAAGUCGGGUGUGAAAGCCCUGGGCUCAACCUAGGAAGUGCACUCGAAACUUCGAAGCUGGAGUCUUGGAGAGGAAGGCGGAAUUCUCGGUGUAGAGGUGAAAUUCGUAGAUAUCGAGAGGAACACCGGUGGCGAAGGCGGCCUUCUGGACAAUGACUGACGCUGAGACGCGAAAGCGUGGGGAGCAAACAGG
rnacentral:rRNA from 1 species